GACGAACGCUGGCGGCGUGCUUAACACAUGCCAGUCGAACGGAAAGGCCCUGCUUUUGUGGGGUGCUCGAGUGGCGAACGGGUGAGUAACACGUGAGUAACCUGCCCUUGACUGUGGGAUAACUUCAGGAAACAGGGGCGAAUACCGGAUAGGAGAUCCUGCUGCAUGGGGUGGGUUGGAAAGAUUCGGCGGUUGGGGAUGGACGGGCGGUUUAUCGGCUUGUUGGUGGGGUAGUGGCGUACCAAGGCUUUGACGGGUAGCCGGCCUGGGAGGGUGACCGGCCCCAUUGGGCCUGAGGUACGACCCAGACUGCAACGGGAGGCAGCGGUGGGGAAUAUUGCGCAAUGGGCGGAAGCCGGAUGCAGCAACGCCGGGUGCGGGAUGACGGCCUUCGGGUUGUAAACCGCUUUCGCCUGUAACGAAGAGUGAGUGACGGUAACGGGUCAGGAAGCACCGGCUAACUACGUG
rnacentral:rRNA from 1 species